GACGAACGCUGGCGGCGUGCCUAAUACAUGCAAGUCGAGCGGACUUUCAAGAAGCUUGCUUUUUGAAAGUUAGCGGCGGACGGGUGAGUAACACGUGGGCAACCUGCCUGCAAGACGGGGAUAACUCCGGGAAACCGGGGCUAAUACCGGAUAAUAUCUUCCUUCGCAUGAAGGAAGGUUGAAAGGCGGCGCACGCUGCCGCUUGCAGAUGGGCCCGCGGCGCAUUAGCUAGUUGGUGAGGUAACGGCUCACCAAGGCGACGAUGCGUAGCCGACCUGAGAGGGUGAGCGGCGACACUGGGACUGAGACACGGCCCAGACUCCUACGGGAGGCAGCAGUAGGGAAUCUUCCGCAAUGGACGAAAGUCUGACGGAGCAACGCCGCGUGAGCGAAGAAGGGCGUCGGAUCGUAAAGCUCUGUUGUCAGGGAAGAACAAGUACCGUUCGAACAGGGCGGUACCUUGACGGUACCUGAACAGAAAGCCACGGCUAACUACGUG
rnacentral:rRNA from 1 species